rnacentral:tRNA from 1 species
GCCGGAGUAGCUCAGCUGGUUAGAGCAACGGAAUCAUAAUCCGUAGGUCGGGGGUUCAAGUCCCUCCUCCGGUACCA